rnacentral:rRNA from 1 species
AGGACUAACGCUGGCGGCGUGCCUAACACAUGCAAGUCGAACGAGAGUAGCAAUACUCUAGUGGCAGACGGGUGAGUAACACGUGGUCAACCUACCUCUAUGUGGGGGAUAACUAGCCGAAAGGUUAGCUAAUACCGCAUACGAUCGUCGAGCGGCAUCGCUUGACGAUGAAAGGAGCAAUCCGCAGAGAGACGGGACCGCGUCCCAUUAGCUAGUUGGUGGGUAAAGGCCUACCAAGGCGACGAUGGGUAGCUGGCUUGAGAGAGCGACCAGCCACACUGGGACUGAGACACGGCCCAGACUCCUACGGGAGGCAGCAGUGAGGAAUUUUCCGCAAUGGGCGAAAGCCUGACGGAGCGACGCCGCGUGUGGGAAGAAGGCCUUCGGGUCGUAAACCACUGUCGAAGGGGAAGAGUAUUGACGGUACCCUUGGAGGAAGCCCCGGCUAACUACGUGCCAGCAGCCGC